UGUCAUGCUUCCAAGAAAAGCCCUAUACCCGUUAAGGCAUCAUGGCCUGUACCCGAAACCGACACAGGUGGGGUGGUAGAGAAUACCGAGGGGCGCGAGGUAACUCUCUCUAAGGAACUCGGCAAAAUGGCCCCGUAACUUCGGGAGAAGGGGUGCCACCGCAAGGUGGUCGCAGUGAAGAGGCCCAGGCGACUGUUUACCAGAAACACAGGCCUCCGCUAAGUCGCAAGACGAUGUAUGGGGGCUGACGCCUGCCCAGUGCCGGAAGGUUAAGGAAGCUGGUCAGCGCAAGCGAAGCUAGCGACUGAAGCCCCGGUGAACGGCGGCCGUAACUAUAACGGUCCUAAGGUAGCGAAAUUCCUUGUCGGGUAAGUUCCGACCCGCACGAAAGGCGUAACGAUCUGGGCGCUGUCUCGGAGAGAGGCUCGGCGAAAUAGAAUUGUCUGUGAAGAUGCGGACUACGUGCACCCGGACAGAAAGACCCUAUGAAGCUUUACUGUAGCUUGGUAUUGUGCCCGGGCUCGCAAUGCGCAGGAUAGGUGGGAGGCUUUGAUCAUCGGCUUGCGAGUCGAUGUGAGCCGACGGUGAGAUACCACUCUUUGCGAGCUAGGGUUCUAACGGCCACCCGUCAUCCGGGGGCCGGACAGUACCUGGUGGGCAGUUUGACUGGGGCGGUCGCCUCCUAAAAGGUAACGGAGGCGCGCAAAGGUUUGCUCAGGCUGGUUGGAAAUCAGCCGACGAGUGUAAAAGCAGAAGCAAGCUUGACUGUGAGACCAACAAGUCGAACAGGGAGGAAACUCGGCUUUAGUGAUCCGACGGUUCUGAGUGGAAGGGCCGUCGCUCAACGGAUAAAAGUUACUCUAGGAUAACAGGCUGAUCUCCCCCAAGAGUUCACAUCGACGGGGAGGUUUGGCACCUCGAUGUCGGCUCAUCGCAACCUGGGGCUGAAGUCGGUCCCAAGGGUUGGGCUGUUCGCCCAUUAAAGCGGUACGCGAGCUGGGUUCAGAACGUCGUGAGACAGUUCGGUCCAUAUCCGGUGCACGCGCAGGAAUAUUGAGAGGAUUUCUCCCUAGUACGAGAGGACCGGGAGGAACGCACCUCUGGUGUACCAGUUAUCGUGCCAACGGUAAACGCUGGGUAGCCAUGUGCGGAGUGGAUAACCGCUGAAAGCAUCUAAGUGGGAAGCCCACCUCAAGAUGAGUAUUCCCAUGGCGUAAGCCAGUAAGGUCACGGGAAGAACACCCGUUGAUAGGCUCUAUGUGGAAGCGCAGUAAUGCGUGAAGCAGAGGAGUACUAAUAGACCGAGGGCUUGACC
rnacentral:rRNA from 1 species